UACGGGGGGGAGCAAGCGUUGUUCGGAUUUACUGGGCGUAAAGGGCGCGUAGGCGGCCAGCACAAGUCAGUUGUGAAAUCUCCGAGCUUAACUCGGAAAGGUCAACUGAUACUGUGCGGCUAGAGUGCGGAAGGGGCAACUGGAAUUCUUGGUGUAGCGGUGAAAUGCGUAGAUAUCAAGAGGAACACCUGCGGCGAAGGCGGGUUGCUGGGCCGACACGUGACGCUGAGGCGCGAAAGCCAGGGGGAGCGAACGGG
rnacentral:rRNA from 1 species